rnacentral:rRNA from 1 species
GAUGAACGCUGGCGGCGUGCCUAAUACAUGCAAGUCGAGCGAACAGACGAGGAGCUUGCUCCUCUGACGUUAGCGGCGGACGGGUGAGUAACACGUGGAUAACCUACCUAUAAGACUGGGAUAACUUCGGGAAACCGGAGCUAAUACCGGAUAAUAUAUUGAACCGCAUGGUUCAAUAGUGAAAGACGGUUUUGCUGUCACUUAUAGAUGGAUCCGCGCCGCAUUAGCUAGUUGGUAAGGUAACGGCUUACCAAGGCAACGAUGCGUAGCUGACCUGAGAGGAUGAUCGGCCACACUGGAACUGAGACACGGUCCAGACUCCUACGGGAGGCAGCAGUAGGGAAUAUUCCGCAAUGGGCGAAAGCCUGACGGAGCAACGCCGCGUGAGUGAUGAAGGUCUUCGGAUCGUAAAACUCUGUUAUUAGGGAAGAAAAAAUGUGUAAGUAACUAUGCACGUCUUGACGGUACCUAAUCAGAAAGCCGCGGCUAACUACGUG